rnacentral:lncRNA from 1 species
GCAUAGACACUAAAACCAUAAGGAAUUAAAAACAUUCUUUACCAAGAAAACAUUUCUUAAAAAAAAUAUAUAAAGCAAGCGGAAGACUUUCUAGACUUUAUACAUGAUGUCUCAUAACCAUCUAAUACUUUAGAGUACAAAAUUCGGGACUAAUCCCGUACACAACUUAAACAAUACUAAAAAGACAUAAAAGAAUAUAUUGGGUAUUGUCCUCGAAUCUAUGAGGACUCACCAAGUCUUCAUCUUCAACACUUAGA